AUCUUUGCGCUUGGGGCAAUGACGCAGUUAGUGAGGUGAAAAGGAGACGCGUCAAUUGCUGGUUGACAACUAUUUCUAUUUCCAUUGCAAGUGUCAAAGUCUUCCUUUCUGCCCGAUUCAUUACAUUGUGGCCUGGCCAAGUACUGUACUUUGAACAAAUGUGUUUCAA
rnacentral:snRNA from 1 species